GGACUAGAUGCUCAGUCAGUUGAGCAUAGCGCUAACAACACUAAUGUUACGGGUUCGAUUCCCGUUCAGUCCC
rnacentral:tRNA from 1 species